rnacentral:lncRNA from 1 species
GGAAAGUAAUAGGACAAUUGUAGCAAAAUCACAACAGUAGAGAAACUUUGGGCCUUUUUGUCAGAGAUCAGAGAGAGGGAAAAGAGAGAGCAGAAAAAUGGUGGCCGGGCAGCAGAAUUCAGGUGAGGGAGUGAUCACAACCAAUUAUUGGUUCAAACCCAAGAAGGGUAGUGUUUUCCCAGCCAAGAGGAAGUUGGUGAAGACAAUGGUUUUUGAAUCCAUGGUGAAAUGGGUUGCCUCUGUUUUCUGCUCUGCGCUUCCUCCUCCUCCACCUCCGUCUGGAGCCUCAGCCAACCAACCCAACAUGACCCCCGUGGGCAAAGUAGCAAAUUCCAAGAAAUGCAAGCAGAUAGCACCACAGUGAAUUGGAAAGUCCAAUCAAAUCCAUGCCACCUUUGAAGAUUUUAGUUAAUUUCCUACUCCAUAUAUGUGGGUGUGGGUUGAUAAAUUGAUAGAAGUCCC